rnacentral:rRNA from 1 species
UACGGAGGGGGGCUAGCGUUGUUCGGAAUUACUGGGCGUAAAGCGCACGUAGGCGGAUUGUUAAGUCAGGGGUGAAAUCCCGAGGCUCAACCUCGGAACUGCCUUUGAUACUGGCAAUCUCGAGUCCGGAAGAGGUGAGUGGAAUUCCUAGUGUAGAGGUGAAAUUCGUAGAUAUUAGGAAGAACACCAGUGGCGAAGGCGGCUCACUGGUCCGGUACUGACGCUGAGGUGCGAAAGCGUGGGGAGCAAACAGG